GCUACAAAUCUAGCCCAACCAAACAAGAAUUUUGUAACAAUAACUAAAUACUCUAAAUAAACCAUUCCAACAUUUUAGUAAAGGAGAUUGAAAAACCCAUUGGAGCUAUAACAACAGUACCGCAAGGGAAUAAUGAAAUAUCAUGAAAACCUAAAGCAAUAAAAAGUAAAGACUAUAGCUUGUACCUUUCGCAUCAUGGUCUAACUAGUCUAAUCAAGCAAAACGUAUUUAAGUUUGACCCCCCGAAACUAAGUGAGCUACUUCAAGGCAGCUGAAAGAGCAAACCCGUCUCUGUGGCAAAAGAGUGGGACGACCAUCAAGUAGUGGUGAUAAGCCUAACGAACUUAGUGAUAGCUGGUUACUCAAAAAACGGAUCUUAGUCCAGCCUGAAUUAUGGGUUGCCACCCCCAGUUUGCCAAAACGAAUUCUUUCACUUCAGCGUAAUUCAAAUAAGGUACAGCCUAUUUGAAACAGGACACAACCUAGACCAACGGAUAAGAUCAGCUCAAUGAACAAUCAAGUGGGCCUAAAAGCAGCCAUCUCCUAAAUUGCGUCAAAGCUUAAUUGUUCUAACGCCUAAUUACCAAAUUUACAUCCUAAUCCACCAUCGACACUGAGUACAUCUAUAGUAUUAUAGAAUCUUUUAUGUUAGAACUAGUAACAAGAAGAAGACCCUUCUCUUAAAUGUUAGUGUAAAUCAGGCAGGACAAACCACUGAUGUUUAACACCAUUGAACCUAAAGUAGCAACCAACCAAGAAAACCCUACUUUGAUUAGUGUUAACCUAACACAAGCACAUUUUAAGAAAGAUUAAAAAAAUAAGAAGGAACUCGGCAAAUAUUAACCCCGCCUGUUUACCAAAAACAUCGCCUCUUGAACCUAAUAAGAGGUCCAGCCUGCCCAGUGACCCUGUUCAACGGCCGCGGUAUCCUAACCGUGCGAAGGUAGCGUAAUCACUUGUUCUUUAAAUGAGGACUAGUAUGAACGGCACCACGAAGGUUAUACUGUCUCCUUUUUUUGAUCUGUGAAACUAAUCUCCCCGUGAAGAAGCGGGGAUAAGACUAUAAGACGAGAAGACCCUAUGGAGCUUUAAACUACAUAGCACUUACUAAACAACACAAUAAUUUCCGAACAUUAACUCAUUAAGUAAGAUGACUAUAAGUUUUUGGUUGGGGUGACCAUGGAGCAUAACACAACCUCCACGUUGAAUGGAUAUUAUCCUUAACUAAGAGCCACCCUUCAAGGCAUCAAUACUUUGACAUUCAUUGACCCAAUACUUUUGAACAACGAACCAAGUUACCCUAGGGAUAACAGCGCAAUCCACCUUGAGAGCCCCUAUCGGCAGGUGGGUUUACGACCUCGAUGUUGGAUCAGGGUCUCCAAGUGGUGCAGCCGCUACUA
rnacentral:rRNA from 1 species